rnacentral:rRNA from 1 species
GUACACGCUGUGACUAGCAUAUCAAUAAGCGGAGGAAAAGGUGUAUACCUACGCUUAGGAUGUUGACAGCAGUAUAGACUGUCGAUCUCAUCUAUACAUGACUCUGUGCAUAUCAAUAAGCGGAGGAAAAGAAACUAACAAGGAUUCCCCUAGUAACGGCGAGUGAAGCGGGAAGAGCUCAAAUUUGAAAUCUUAAAGGGUUUCCCUUUACGAAUUGUAGUUUAAAGAAGUGUUUUCUGUUGAGGUUUUGGUAAAAGUUCUUUGGAAUAGGACAUCAUAGAGGGUGAGAAUCCCGUAUUUGACCUUUACUUUCAACUUUGUGAUACACUUUCAAAGAGUCGGAUUGUUUGGGAAUGCAGUCCAAAAUGGGUGGUAAAUUUCAUCUAAAGCUAAAUAUUGGCGAGAGACCGAUAGCGAACAAGUACCGUGAGGGAAAGAUGAAAAGAACUUUGAAAAGAGAGUUAAACAGUACGUGAAAUUGUCAAAAGGGAAGCGUUUGACACCAGUGUUGUUUUUCUGAAAAUCAAUUAAAGAACUGUUUAUGCUAAGUUGUUUAGACUUUAUCAGCUAACUGUUUAGUUUUGAGCUUUUCUUUAAUGCACUUUUCAGUUAACAAGUCAACAUCAAUUUCUUUUGCUGUAAAAAAGCUUGAGGAAGGUGGCUUGAGAUUCGUCUUAAGUGUUUAUAGCCUCUUGCCUAUGCAGUCGGAGAGAUUGAGGUCUGCAGCGUAGAUCCUUCGGGGCUAAAUGCAUUUGUGCUAAGUUAUAGCAUUUUAUAGACAACUUGUUGACUAUGAUUUGUCUUGUAGCUUACUCGCUUAUGUUAUUUUACCUACGCUUAGGAUGUUGACAGCAGUAUAGACUGU